CUUCCCGUUCUGCUUUCUGGUUUUCCAUGGUGUUCUUCAUGAGAUAUAAGACCUUCAGCCUACUCCAUCCAAGGCAUCCAUCUGUCUUCAGAAGAGAUUAGAAUUUUGUUCUGAAGCCAUGCAAAGAGUAAGACCAAGUGCUAACAUCCAAUUUGCAUGUGCCGGGAGAGAAAAUUCUUCAUGGAUCUCUGGUGCUCCUACACAUCUCACUGAUGGAGUAACUGGGGCCAAGGGAGAUUACCAACUUGCCCAAGAUGUCAACAUUAGUAAGAGAAAGAGCCAAAUUUCAAACUCAGGUAAAACUUCCACAUGGCCUGGACAAGACCUCGGAGGUGAUAAAAAUCUUGUAUGACCCUGGGAUUCUCAGAUUUGAAAUCAGAAGGCUCGCUAUUUCAGAAUAAACACAAAGCUAAUAUAGAUAUAGUUGAAAAUUUACAGCCCAAACUUAGACUUAGUUUUGCUUAGCAACUGGACCAAAAUAAUAAACAAGAAGAGAAAUACCUGUUCUCCAGCGAUUUCAUAAAUCUGCCUUCAGUAUAAAUUUUGCAGACAACAUUAAAGAAAGACCUUUGGAGUAGAGCCAAGCCUUUGAAAACCCACUUUAACCUUGUGCUUGGCACUGUGCUAUAAAAAGUUUACUGUGACCUUCCAAAGAAACUGUAAGGGGCCAUUUUGUGGCUCUUAUCUUUUUUUGUUCUCCAUCCCCAGUCUUCUUAAUUACAUUUUCACAUGAACUCUGUGGGUAUUAAAUGAAGCUGGGUCCAUUCAGUAUUUCUGUUCAAUCUUCUCAGAAAAUUGGUUCUGUUUUCUUUGGGCAAUCUAUAGGCAGUUUCUGAUGCAUUUCUCUACCAUUCUGGUAAUGUAUUUAUUUCCCCAGCCAUUUUUCAUAGGGGACACUUCCACCAGUUUAUUUUUUUUU
rnacentral:lncRNA from 10 species